GGGGUUGUGGCUCAGUGGUAGAGCACUUGCCUAGCACGUGUGAGGCACUGGGUUCAAUCCUCAGCACCA
rnacentral:tRNA from 1 species